rnacentral:rRNA from 1 species
AUGGGCAACUCGUGCCACGGCUCCAUCGUUCCCGCGGCCGGUGACGGCCGCCACCACUACCGCACCAGCUGCAGCAGCUCCGACUGGGACUCCGACUCCUCCUCCCCCGUCGUCGACCGCGCGCCGCACCGCAACACCAUCAUGGGCCGCGGCGCCGGCCACCAGCACCAGCUCUCCUCCCCGACGGCCGUGAUGGGCCACCAGACCCCGCUCCUGCGCGACCUCUACAACGUCGGCCGCAAGCUCGGGCAGGGCCAGUUCGGCACCACCUACCUCUGCACCGAGAUCUCAACCGGCGUGGACUUCGCCUGCAAGUCCAUCGCCAAGCGCAAGCUGCUGACCCCGGAGGACGUGGAGGACGUGCGGCGCGAGAUCCAGAUCAUGCACCACCUUGCCGGCCACGACAGCGUGGUCACCAUCAAGGGCGCGUACGAGGACGCGCAGUUCGUGCACAUCGUCAUGGAGCUCUGCGAGGGCGGCGAGCUCUUCGACCGCAUCGUCCAGCGCGGAUACUUCUCCGAGCGCCGCGCCGCCGAGAUCGCCCGCGUCAUCGUCGGCGUCGUCGAGGCCUGCCACUCGCUCGGGGUCAUGCACCGCGACCUCAAGCCCGAGAACUUUCUCUUGAAAGACAAGGAGGAGAAUAACAACAACAACAAUGGCUCCGGCAAUAGUGUUAAUGAACCGGCGGGCGACAAGGUCAACCUCAAGGCCAUCGACUUCGGCCUCUCCGUCUUCUUCAAGCCCGGCCAGAUCUUCACCGACGUCGUGGGCAGCCCCUACUACGUCGCGCCCGAGGUGCUCUGCAAGCACUACGGCCCCGAGGCCGACGUGUGGACCGCCGGCGUCAUCGUCUACAUCCUGCUGUCCGGCGUGCCGCCCUUCUGGGCCGAGACGCAGCAGGGCAUCUUCGACGCCGUGCUCAAGGGCGCCAUCGACUUCGACUCCGACCCGUGGCCCAACAUCUCGGACGGCGCCAAGGACCUCAUCCGGAAGAUGCUCAAGUCGCCGCCGGCGGAGCGGUUCACGGCGCACCAGGUCUUGUGCCACCCAUGGAUCAUUGAGAACGGCGAGGCCCCCGACGCGCCGCUGGACCCUGCCGUGCUCUCCAGGCUCAAGCAGUUCUCGGCCAUGAACCGGUUGAAGAAGAUGGCUUUACGUGUGAUCGCGCGCGGGCUGUCAGAGGAGGAGUUGGCCGGGCUCAAGGAGAUGUUCAAGACCAUGGACACAGACGGCAGCGGUGCCAUCACAUUCGAGGAGCUCCGGGAGGGGCUGCGCCGUUACGGGUCCACAGAGCUCAGGGACUCGGAGGUGCGGGACCUCAUGGAGGCAGCUGACGUGGACAACAGCGGCACCAUCGAUUACGACGAGUUCAUCGCCGCCACCGUGCACAUGAACAAGCUGGACCGCGAGGAGCACCUCAUGGCGGCCUUCUCCUACUUCGACAAGGACGGCAGCGGGUACAUCACCGUCGAUGAGCUGGAGGUGGCGUGUCGCGAGCACAACAUGGCCGACGUCGGCAUCGACGACAUCAUCAGGGAGGUCGACCAGGACAACGAUGGUCGGAUCGACUACGGGGAGUUCGUGGCCAUGAUGAAGAAGGGGAUCAUCGGCAACGGCAGGCUUACCAUGAGGCACACCUCCGACGGUAGCAUCCUCCAUGGAGCAGGCAGCGGCCUCAGCAGCUAG